rnacentral:misc_RNA from 1 species
GAUGAAGAACGUAGCGAAAUGCGAUACGUAAUGUGAAUUGCAGAAUUCAGUGAAUCAUCGAAUCUUUGAACGCAUCUUGCGCUCCUUGGUAUUCUGAGGAGCAUGCCUGUUUGAGUGUCAUUAAAUUCUCAACUACACUGACUUUGAAUUGGUGUGGCUUGGAUUUGGGGGGAAAAUUGUUGUGGGCUUUUUGUAUAGUCUGCUCCCCAGAAAUUGAUUAGCGGUACCUUUGUGGAACUGUCUACAGGUGUGAUAAUUAUCUACAUCUUAGACAUCUGCUGGAAUGCUGCUUUCUAAACCUUACUUGUAUUGACAAUCUUGACCUCAAAUCAGGUAGGACUACCCGCUGAACUUAAGCAUAUCAAUAAGCGGAGGA